AAAUCCGCCCAGGGUUAGCCGGUACCUAAGUCGAGGUCGAAAGGCGUAGACGAUGGACAACAGGUUAAUAUUCCUGUGCUGCUAUUUAACGUUUGAGCUUGGGAGGACGUGGACACAACGAUUAGCAAACCCAGUAGACAUGGUUUGUUCAAGCUGGAGAUGCCGCUCUAGGAAAAUCCGGAGCAAUAAGGUGUCGAAAGCGAGUACGUUGGCUCUUGGCCUAGAAGUAAUCUGAGUGUCUUCCAAGAAAAGUCUCGUUAGCGAGUUAACAUGGCAACCGUACUAAAACUGACACAGGUAGGCAAGGAGAGAAUCCUAAGGCGCUCGAGAGAACCCUCGUUAAGGAAUUCGGCAAACAUACUCCGUAACUUCGGGAUAAGGAGUGCCUUUUUAACUUCGGUUAAAAAGGUCGCAGUGAAAAAGGUCCGGGCGACUGUUUACUAAAAACACAGGUCUCUGCUAAAAUGUAUAAUUGAUGUAUAGAGACUGACGCGUGCUCGAUGCCAGAAAGUUAAGGGGAUAGGUUAUUUCCUGAGCAAUCAGGAGAGAAGCUUGGAACUGAAGCUCUGGUGAAUGGCGGCUCUAACUAUGAGAGUCCUAAGGUAGCGAAGUUCCUUGUCGGGUAAUUUCCGACGCGCAUGAAUCGCGUAACGACCUGGACACUGUCUCAACGAGGGACUCGGCGAAAUUGUAGUUGUGGUGAAGAUGCCACAUACCCGCGGAAAGACGGAAAGACCCCGUGAACCUUUACUGUAGCUUAUUAUUGGAUUUUGGCGCAGUAUGUGUAGGAUAGGUGGGAGACGAGGAAGUUUCGACGUAAGUUGGAAUGGAGUCAAUGGUGAAAUACCACUCUUACUUUGUUAAAAUUCUAAAGGAAUACCGUGAAUCCGGGUUCUUGACAGUGGUAAGUGGGCAGUUUGACUGGGGCGGUCUCCUCCAAAAAAGUAACGGAGGAGUCCAAAGGCUCCCUCAAUGCGGUUGGCAACCGCAUGUAGAGUGUAAAGGCAUAAGGGAGCUUAACUGCGAGACCUAUAAGUCGAGCAGGUGUGAAAGCAGGGCUUAGUGAUCCGGCGGUUUCUGAGUGGAAAGGCCGUCGCUCAACAGAUAAAAGGUACUCCGGGGAUAACAGGCUGAUCUCCUCCGAGCGUUCAUAGCGGCGAGGAGGUUUGGCACCUCGAUGUCGGCUCAUCGCAUCCUGGGGCUGAAGAAGGUCCCAAGGGUUUGGGAGUUCACCAAUUAAAGCGGUACGCGAGCUGGGUUUAGACCGUCGUGAGACAGGUCGGUCCCUAUCUUCCGUGGGCGUACGAUAUUUGAGAAAAUCUGCCUCUAGUACGAGAGGAUCGAGGUGGACGAACCUAUGGUGAGUCAGUUGUUGUGCUAACAGCAUGGCUGAGUAGCUAAGUUCGGAAAGGAUAAACGCUGAAAGCAUAUAAGCGUGAAGCCUGCUUUAAGACUAGAUAUCGUUCUCUAAUUUAUUAGGGUGAAGACAUCUUAAAGACUAUGAGAUUGAUAGGCCAGGUGUGUAAGUCCGGUAACGGAUUCAGCUAACUGGUACUAAUUUGUCGAAAAGCUUGAUCAC
rnacentral:rRNA from 1 species